UGGAGCCAGGUGGUCGUGGAGGGGGCGGGGAGGGGAACGGAGAGAGGGGAGAGAGCCGGAGAGAGGAGGGGAAUACCCCUGUGCUGGAAUCUCUGCACUGGAAGCAGCGCCGAGCACACACUUUUUGAACAGCAGCUGAGCACCUCUGCUUCUACCCAAAGCAUAGCUCGCCUCCUCCAGGAAGCCCGCCUUGCCUCUCACUCUAGUGAGGGCUCACCAGGUGUGCUCAGCCAUGCUGGGUCUGCUGAGGCAGCUUGGGGCUGGCAAGUGGCCCCUCACUCUGUGGCUCCGUGGCCGCAGCACAUCCUGCUUCAUUAGGGCUGUAAUUAGAGACCUACUCUGAAAGCUCAAAGUGAUGCAUGGCCACGUACGGGCUCAGACUCAGUGCCCAGCCCAUCGCUCCCUGCGCUGCUGCAGCUGCGCCACAUCAUACCAAUGCCGUGAUGGUGACCUUUGGAUCCCAAGUCCCAGCCCCAGGAGGGGACAUGCUGCCCACACCCUGAUGAUGGCAUGGACUUGUCCCAUCUCACAGAAGUGCACUUCCAGG